UACGAAGGGGGCUAGCGUUGCUCGGAAUCACUGGGCGUAAAGGGUGCGUAGGCGGGUCUUUAAGUCAGGGGUGAAAUCCUGGAGCUCAACUCCAGAACUGCCUUUGAUACUGAGGAUCUUGAGUUCGGGAGAGGUGAGUGGAACUGCGAGUGUAGAGGUGAAAUUCGUAGAUAUUGCAAGAACACCAGUGGCGAAGGCGGCUCACUGGCCCGAUACUGACGCUGAGGCACGAAAGCGAUGGGGAG
rnacentral:rRNA from 1 species